AUUGAACGCUGGCGGCAGGCCUAACACAUGCAAGUCGAGCGGAUGAAGGGAGCUUGCUCCUGGAUUCAGCGGCGGACGGGUGAGUAAUGCCUAGGAAUCUGCCUGGUAGUGGGGGAUAACGUCCGGAAACGGGCGCUAAUACCGCAUACGUCCUGAGGGAGAAAGUGGGGGAUCUUCGGACCUCACGCUAUCAGAUGAGCCUAGGUCGGAUUAGCUAGUUGGUGGGGUAAAGGCCUACCAAGGCGACGAUCCGUAACUGGACUGAGAGGAUGAUCAGUCACACUGGAACUGAGACACGGUCCAGACUCCUACGGGAGGCAGCAGUGGGGAAUAUUGGACAAAGGGCGAAAGCCUGAUCCAGCCAUGCCGCGUGUGUGAAGAAGGUCUUCGGAUUGUAAAGCACUUUAAGUUGGGAGGAAGGGCAGUAAGUUAAUACCUUGCUGUUUUGACGUUACCAACAGAAUAAGCACCGGCUAACUUCGUG
rnacentral:rRNA from 1 species